AGUGAGCGCUGGCGGUAGGCCUAACACAUGCAAGUCGAACGGCAGCACAGUAAGAGCUUGCUCUUACGGGUGGCGAGUGGCGGACGGGUGAGGAAUACAUCGGAAUCUACUUUUUCGUGGGGGAUAACGUAGGGAAACUUACGCUAAUACCGCAUACGACCUACGGGUGAAAGCAGGGGAUCUUCGGACCUUGCGCGAUUGAAUGAGCCGAUGUCGGAUUAGCUAGUUGGCGGGGUAAAGGCCCACCAAGGCGACGAUCCGUAGCUGGUCUGAGAGGAUGAUCAGCCACACUGGAACUGAGACACGGUCCAGACUCCUACGGGAGGCAGCAGUGGGGAAUAUUGGACAAUGGGCGCAAGCCUGAUCCAGCCAUACCGCGUGGGUGAAGAAGGCCUUCGGGUUGUAAAGCCCUUUUGUUGGGAAAGGAAAGCAGCAGGUUAAUACCCCGCUGUUCUGACGGUACCCAAAGAAUAAGCACCGGCUAACUUCGUG
rnacentral:rRNA from 1 species